CAAUUAUGUUCUUAGAGGUUUGGCUAAAUUCCAAGCACAUAGAUAUGUGUUGUUCAACUGCUUAGAUGUCAACCUAUUCCUUCGAGCUCACGCUGAUGAGCUCAAUAGCGAGCGUGAUGUCUCCUCAAACACAGUCGAGUCCAUCCAGCAUGUUAAGUUCAACGACUGGUUCAAAGCUCAUAUGAUUAAAUUGGAGAAAGAAAAUGGUAUUGGCAGUAUUAACAAUGAUGUUAGAUGGCUAGCACGUGGCCCGGUUGAUGCAGCAAAAAGGUAUCGUGCUUACAACUCAAGAGGAUAUCGGUUUCGGGCUAAACGCUUAGACAGGGUGAGUCAAAAUAGUGGAGUAAUGGUACGUGC